ensembl:lncRNA LINC02028 long intergenic non-protein coding RNA 2028
GGUGAAGGGAACAGUAUGGCACAGCUUCAGAGGCAAGGGUGAGCCAGCAGCAAGGGGCUGGCUAUGGCCGGUACAAAAAGCAUGUGCUCGUGGGAAAUAGGCACCAAAGAAGGCCCAGAGAGGUUUAACAACUUCCUCAGAAUCACACAGCUUCCAAAUGGUUGGGUUGGGUUUACAUUUAGGCGGUCUUGCUCCAGAGCCAGUGCUCCUAACCUUUGCAAGCCACGAACCUCAAGAAAGUGGAGAAGGAAACGCUGGGAAAUCUGGAAGUCAGACAUGGCAACCUAGUUUAUCUCCCGGGAGCUGACUUCAUUUCUAAAC